GUAGGGGCCGAGCGUUGUCCGGAGUUACUGGGCGUAAAGCGCGCGCAGGCGGCUCGUCAAGCCUGACGUGAAAGCCCCCGGCUCAACCGGGGAGGGUCGUCGGGGACUGGCGGGCUUGAGGUCGGCAGGGGCUGGUGGAAUUCCCGGUGUAGUGGUGAAAUGCGUAGAGAUCGGGAGGAACACCCGUGGCGAAGGCGGCCAGCUGGGCCGGACCUGACGCUGAGGCGCGAAGGCGUGGGGAGCGAACGGGAUUAGAUACCCCGGUAGUCCACGCAGUAAACGAUGCAGACUAGGCGUGGGGGGACUUGACCCCCUCCGUGCCGAAGCCAACGCGUGAAGUCUGCCGCCUGGGGAGUACGGCCGCAAGGCUAAA
rnacentral:rRNA from 1 species